rnacentral:rRNA from 1 species
UUCCCCUAGUAACUGCGAGUGAAGCGGGAAAAGCUCAAAUUUAAAAUCUGGUAGUCUUUGGCUGCCCGAGUUGUAAUCUAGAGAAGUGUUAUCCGCACUGGACCGUGUACAAGUCUCCUGGAAUGGAGCGUCAUAGAGGGUGAGAAUCCCGUCUUUGACACGGACUACCAGGGCUUUGUGAUGCGCUCUCAAAGAGUCGAGUUGUUUGGGAAUGCAGCUCUAAAUGGGUGGUAAAUUCCAUCUAAAGCUAAAUAUUGGCGAGAGACCGAUAGCGAACAAGUACCGUGAGGGAAAGAUGAAAAGAACUUUGGAAAGAGAGUUAAACAGUACGUGAAAUUGUUGAAAGGGAAACGCUUGAAGUCAGUCGUGUUGGCCAGGGAUCAACCUUGCUUCUUGCUUGGUGUACUUUCUGGUUAAUGGGUCAGCAUCAAUUUUGACCAGUGGAAAAAGACUAGGGGAAUGUGGCAUCUUCGGAUGUGUUAUAGCCCUUGGUUGCAUACACUGGUUGGGAUUGAGGAACUCAGCACGCCGCAAGGCCGGGUUUUUACCACGUUCGUGCUUAGGAUGCUGGCAUAAUGGCUUUAAUCGACCCGUCUUGAAACACGGACCAAGGAGUCUAACAUACCUGCGAGUGUUUGGGUGGAAAACCCAAGCGCGCAAUGAAAGUGAAAGUUGGGAUCUCUGUCGUGGGGAGCACCGAUGCCCGGACCAGACCUUCUGUGACGGUUCCGCGGUGGAG